UAUAUGUGGAAUCUAAAAAGAAAGGUACAAAUUUUAUUUACAAACCAGAAAUAGACUCACAGACAUAGAAAAUAAACUGUGGUUACCCAGGGGGAGAGAGUAGGGGGAAGGAUAGAUUAGAAUUUUGGGAUUAAUAGAUGCACAUUAGUAUAUACAUAAUAGAUAAACAACAAGGGCCUACUGUAUAGCACAAGGAGAUACAUUCAAU